rnacentral:tRNA from 1 species
GGUAGCUCAGCUGGUUAGAGCGCUGGUCUCAUAAGCCGGAGGUCGGGAGUUCAAGUCUCCCCC